rnacentral:rRNA from 1 species
UUACCCACUCUCGGCGCGAGGAGGUAGUGACGAGAAAUAACGGGGCUGGCCCCUCGGGGUUCGGCGAUCGGAAUGGGUGCAAUCUAAAGCCUUGAACGAGCAUCUAUGAGAGGGCAAGUCUGGUGCCAGCAGCCGCGGUAAUUCCAGCUCUCAGAAUGCAUAGAACCAUUGCUGCGGUUAAAAAGCUCGUAGUUGGAUUUGUGCGCGGGCCCCGGACGUCGCCUCGGCGUCGCUCUGGGUGCCCCGUGCUUCGCGCCGGUCCCUCCGGGGGUUGGCGAGUUUACUUUGAACAAAUCAGAGUGCUCAAGACAGGCUGUACGCCUGAAUGCUCGUGCAUGGAAUAAUGGAAGAGGAUCUCGGUCCGACUUUGUUGGUUUUGCGGCCGAGGUAAUGGUCAAUAGGGGCGGACGGGGGCAUUCGUACUUCUGCGUGAGAGGUGAAAUUUUUGGACCGCAGGAAGACGCACGACAGCGAAGGCAAUUGCCAAGCACGUCCCCGUUAAUCAAGAACGAAAGUCAGAGGAUCGAAGGCGAUUAGAUACCGCCCUAGUUCUGACCGUAAACGAUGCCAACUAGCGAUCCGCCGGUGUCCUCCCCGGCCCCGGUGGGGAGCUUCCCGGAAACGAAAGUCUUCCGGUUCCGGGGGAAGUAUGGUUGCAAAGCUGAAACUUAAAGGAAUUGACGGAAGGGCACCACCAGGAGUGGAGCCUGCGGCUUAAUUUGACUCAACACGGGGAACCUCACCCGGGCACGACACCGUCGGGAUUGACAAACUGCAGACUUUUCAUGAUUCGGUGAGUGGUGGUGCAUGGCCGUUCUUAGUUCGUGGAGUGAUCAGUCAGGUUAAUUCCGGUAACGAGCGAGACUCUAGCCUGCUAGUUAGACCUGCUGCUACAGCUGCAGUCGGCGAGCUUCUUAGAGGGAUCCUCGGCGAACGAUAGCCGAAAGAGAUGGAGCGAUAACAGGUCUGUGAUGCCCCUCGAUGCCCGGGGCUGCACGCGCGCUACACUGGCAAAGGC